GUGGGGAGUGCUGGAUCCUGGGCUGUGUCCCCCGGCGCCCUGGGGUCUGGGGCCUGCUCUGCUGGAUUCGAGCUCCUGGAGCCGCGCAGCCCCCU
rnacentral:pre_miRNA from 1 species